ACAUGGAUGGAACUUGAGGACAUCAUGCUAAGGAAAAUAAGCCAGUUACAAGAAGACAAACACUCUAUGAGCAUUUCUUCAGAAUUCGCAAUACCAGAUUGUUCAGGAUCCUUGAGAUGUUCUCUUCUGUGAACUUGGGAACCUCAAACGAAGAUUGGGAGCACUUCUUACAUCUUUGGGAAAAGAUCCUCAUCUUCACCUGGCCCCUGGACUCCCCCUCACUCCAGUGCAUGUGGAAAAGGACCUGAACUUGGGAGGAGGCCCAGUUCCGAGAGCAUGAUGAGCACUGAAACCUGUGGAGACAGAAGACAGGACCCUCAGUUGGCUCAUUAUGGCCAAGUUGUGGGCUAUGCCCGAGGGGCACAUGGAGACAUGAUUUGACUGGGAUCAUGGAUUGUUCCUGUCUCCAUUGUGCCGCCAACACACUCUGUGACCCACAGGUGUGUCUGCCAUGAAAACGGCAAAUCACAAGCCAUCAGAGCUGGAAGGGGUCUUGGGCAAAUUCUGUGUCUAAUGUCAUUACUUUAGAGCUUAGGAACACACUGGGAAUUUGUCAUGCUUAGAGACGUAGUGGAUAGAAGAGGCAGGACUGGAACUCCAGUGUCCUGACCACAAACCAAGGCUUCUUCAAACAUAGAUCUAAGUUGGUCAAAGGCUACAAGUACAGCACCCCCAGGAACCCUGAGCUGCAAGCCUCAAAUAGGUACAGGUGAGUGUAGAUAUGUGUGAUCUGAAUGUUUGUGUCUCCCCUCCCCAACAAUUGCCAUGUUGGAGAUGGCUGCCAGAGGAGAUGUUGCCAGAGGAGAUGGCACCUUGAUGGUGUCCAGAAGGUAGAGACUUUGGGAGGCGAUUAGGCCAUGAGGGUGGAGCCCUUGUGAAUGGGAUUUGUGUUCUUAUAAAAGAGACCCCACAGAGCGUCCUAACUCCUGCCAUGUGAGGCUACAAUGAAAAACCUGUGACUCAGGAGAGGAGAUGGCACCUUGGUCUUUGACUUCCCACCUCCAGAACUGCAAGCAGUGAGCUGAGACUCUGCUCCAAAGGAUGCUCCCAGUGCCAGCUCCUGGCCUGGGAAAAGUACGGGCCACCAGGAGAGGAGAGCUCUGCUUCCUCUACCCAGACCCUCUCCUGGGGGAGGUGGUAUGCAGGCAAUGAGCAUGGCCCCAGUUCUGGGAUCAAGUCCAAAGCUCCCACCCCCAAUCCUUGGGGCUCUGCUUUCCCAUUUGAAAAAAAGGGUGAGACUUUGGAUGACUUCUGAGGACACUAUUUUUAAAAGGAUCCAUCUUCUCCAAGUAGAGAGGGGUAAGGUUGCUGUGUGUUGCCAGCUCCCUGGUCCUCAACCCCUUCCCUGAGGGGGGUCUCUUCAGCAUCCAGGGCUUCUCCCCUGGGUUAUGUUGGACCCCAGGCCUUCCAGGGAGGGAGCAUACGCCCUGAGCCUGGCUCAGCCAACUCUCCUGCAGUUGAGGGAAAUAACAUUCAUUCCUCUGCUUCUCUUUUCCUGAUGCUUCUCAUGCUUUCCCCUCACCCUCAGAUUUCUAUCUGAGCAUCAGCCAGUCCUGCUGUUGUUUUGGGGUUCCAUAUAAGGAAAAAAAUCUUUAAUGAUGCUAAAACAUCCUUGGAUGAUGGGCACCUUACUUCCUGUAAUCUUCACUUUGUAAGUAUGAGCUGAACAAGUAACAAGUAUGCACAGUAAGAAAUAAGCAAGACUUUUCUGGAAUAUUACCAUCACAUUCCUUACCUGGCAAAAGUCCACUGCUGAUAUUGUGUCCACCCUGGCUUCAGGAUGUUGGGAAGAAGGCUUCUGUCUAGUAUCAGGGUCCACAUGUGCCAUGGCUUCACCUCCUGAAUUAAUUCCUGGAACACUUGCUUCCACACCUCGGUGUUCUGACCCAUCGCCAUGGUCCUGGUGAACUGACCACAUCACCGUCACCUGGGCCCUGACAGAUCUGGAGCAGGACACAGGAACUGGAGCAGGUUUCCUGUUUUGGAGAGCAAGGAUUCAGACCUGCUUGCCCCUUAUAUCCCUGGACUGGGCAUGUACUGGGUCUUUGCCCCAAGGACAAAGAUCAGUUGAUUCUGGCUCUAAGUUCUAAGAACAGCACUAGACUCCACAGGGAAUUUCGAAAGACGUGGAACGCAUGGCUUCAUCCAGCAAAUUAUUACCAAAGGAGGGCCCUGGACUCCAUGAUAGGAAGGGUGGAUCUCAGGCGGGCUUUGCCAUUUGCCCAUCUUUAACCAGGAACACACCUUUACUCCCUGUAAACAGUGGAGACAGGCUGCAGUUGCCCUUUCUAGUUCUAAUGUUUAAAGAUCCUUAUCCACUGGGCUGCUGGGCUGAUGAUCUGGGAGGAGAGACGCACAGGAGGACAUGGCCAUCCUGGGACCUUGAUCGAAUCCCUGCAUCCCUGCCUCCCAGCUCUUGCUCUUUCCUCUCUUGCUUGUGCCAAGUCUCUGUGGGACAGUGUUCCAUAGACACUAAGCUGUCCAAGGCAUCUCCGAAGCCCUCUCUUCCAUCCACUGGACACCAAGCCCUUGCAGUUCCUGGGUCCUGGGAAUGAGGCUACAAGGGCUCCACGUGGGUGGGCGGCCACAGUAUACCCCGAGGUGCCUCAUCAUCCCUGUCUCCUCCAGGAGAGGCUUAGGAAGGAGGAAGUUGAGAUGAGCAGGGCAGAGUCCAGAGUGAGUAGGCAAGUCUCUCCGUGUGUGCUUCACAAGGCCUGUUCACGGACAGCCUGGCCUGACCCGUGUCACUAACCACCUCUCAAGAGAAAAGACCUGCCUUCAGCAAAUCCUCCAGCUGGGCAACCCCUGUCUCAGCUCAGGCCUGCAUAACCAUCUCUGUCCUGGUCUCUUGGCCCCUCCAGGCUGCUUGAGCCACUUUCCAUCACUGCAGCCGAGGGUCUUUCCGGAAGUAGAAACCCCCACCUACACUGGGCGGUAGCAUGGCAUUUGGACCCCUCCCAGGCCAGGCCUUCCAAGUUCACCUUCCCAAAAGGCCACAUGCACCCCACCCCCGAAACUCCACCCCUCACCCUCUGUGCCAUCCUCUGAACACUCCUAUCCUCCCAGCUCUCCGGCCUUGUACUCAGGUCCACCCCAAGCAGAGCACCUGCCUUCCCUCCACACGGCAUGUCCCACCAUCCACUCACCUGUCCUGCCUGGUGUUAACUAAGGAAAUUCCUGCACUGGGCUCCUAUCUGUGGCUGGAGGAAGAAAUUGCCUCCUUUUCCCCCUAAAAGCAAAUGCUCUUCUGCAUCAUAAAGCUCAUUCAGAUAAGGUGCUGACCAGAGAAUAUUUAAUAAAGGAAUCUUUCUGACUGUGA